GAUAAGAACGCAGCGAAAUGCGAUAAGUAAUGUGAAUUGCAGAAUUCAGUGAAUCAUCGAAUCUUUGAACGCACAUUGCGCCCGUCAGUAUUCUGGCGGGCAUGCCUGUUCGAGCGUCAUUACGCCCCUCAAGUCCCCUGUGGACUUGGUGUUGGGGAUCGGCGAGGCUGGUUUUCCAGCACAGCCGUCCCUUAAAUUAAUUGGCGGUCUCGCCGUGGCCCUCCUCUGCGCAGUAGUAAAACACUCGCAACAGGAGCCCGGCGCGGUCCACUGCCGUAAAACCCCCCAACUUUUUAUAGUUGACCUCGAAUCAGGUAGGACUACCCGCUGAACUUAAGCAUAUCAAUAAGCGGAGGA
rnacentral:misc_RNA from 1 species